AGGAGAACAACUCUUUUUCGCAGGAUGUGACGUCACAUUGUUGCUUGUUUUUACUUUUUUUGAAAGAGCUACUCUCGAACGUAGAUUAGCCAUUGCCGUCGUGUCGGCUGCAAGACGUUCUGCGCGCGCUUGGCGCGCUUUUGUGCGUGUCGAAAGCGUAUAACGUGCGCGAUAUUCGUGCGAGCGCAGUUUGACUUGAGCAAUCGUGGGUUUGGACUCCGUGACAUUAGCUUUCGUCAUAUGCGAGUUAGGGGCUUGCCGACAGGUAAACCGCCGCUGUACUUAGAUGCAAAAGCUGCCUCCCUUAUCUGGAACAGAAUAAAUUCCUUUCGAAGGCAAAAUAAAAAACAGAAAGAGAAGUCA
rnacentral:lncRNA from 1 species